rnacentral:lncRNA from 1 species
CCACACGCAUGCCUCUGAACUGGAGGAGAUCAGAGUAAAGGCAGACGCACCACGAGAAAGAGUGGCUCAAAUUGACAGACAUACGACACCUGACGAGAAUGCAGCUCCGUGAAAGCAACAGAAAUAGGUUCGGUUUGGGGAGAGUGUGUGGAACAGCUGGGCCCCAUCACUUCUCAUUGCGGGCCUCGGAGAGACGUCGCUGACAGAGUGAUGCACAGAGCCUGUCCUUGCUAAUGACUGCGCCAUUCUCCAUCAUUAUCACCAUCAUUAGGAAAUUAGGGGGACAGAAGCUGGAAAACAGCAGGUCAGGACACACGCAGAGAAACACACAUGCACUCAGAGUAUUAGCCCACUCAGCAUCAUUCCAUGUGUAACCCCAACCUGAACCCAUUUUCUGAUAUUGACCCUAAACACCAAUUGUAUAUUGUAAGUAAGUAAUUUGUCCAUGUGCACACAAACACACAUGCAAAGACAGACUCGGCUGGAGAGGAGGAGACUUGAUUGUAGGAUAAAGUAACCUUUCACAACUGCUUAGCUUCCAGAGUGACGUGUCGCCUUGUUUCUUUGUGCACAGCAAAAUGUUUAACACUGUGUCAUUCUCACUUUCAUGGACUCUUUGUUGAGAUGAGAUUCUGUAUUUUUGCCCUUUUCACUGGUUUCAGCUCAA